rnacentral:rRNA from 1 species
UUCCAGACUCCUACGGGAGGCAGCAGUGAGGAAUAUUGGUCAAUGGACGAAAGUCUGAACCAGCCAUGCCGCGUGCAGGAUGACGGCUCUAUGAGUUGUAAACUGCUUUUGUAUUAGGGUAAACACCCCCACGUGUAGGGGCUUGAAAGUAUAAUACGAAUAAGGAUCGGCUAACUCCGUGCCAGCAGCCGCGGUAAUACGGAGGAUCCAAGCGUUAUCCGGAUUUAUUGGGUUUAAAGGGUGCGCAGGCGGAGGCACAAGUCAGCGGUAAAAUCGGGGGGCUCAACCCCGCUCCGCCGUUGAAACUGUGUCCCUUGAGUGCGCGAAGGGUAGGCGGAAUGCGUGGUGUAGCGGUGAAAUGCAUAGAUAUCACGCAGAACUCUGAUCGCGAAGGCAGCCUACCGGCGCGCAACUGACGCUCAUGCACGAAAGCGUGGGUAUCGAACAGGAUUAGAUACCCUAGUA